CAGAGGGUGCAAGCGUUAAUCGGAAUUACUGGGCGUAAAGCGUGCGUAGACGGUUACGUAAGUCGGAUGUGAAAGCCCCGGGCUCAACCCGGGAAUUGCACUCGAGACUGCGUAGCUAGGGUGCGGAAGAGGGAAGCGGAAUUUCCGGUGUAGCGGUGAAAUGCGUAGAUAUCGGAAGGAACAUCAGUGGCGAAAGCGGCUUCCUGGUCCAGCACCGACGUUCAGGCACGAAAGCGUGGGGAGCAAACAGGAUUAGAUACCCUGGUAGUCCACGCCAUAAACGAUGAGAACUAGACGUUGAGAGGGUAAGCCUCGCAGUGUCGCAGCUAACGCGUUAAGUUCUCCGCCUGGGGAGUACGGCCGCAAGGUUG
rnacentral:rRNA from 1 species